rnacentral:rRNA from 1 species
UACAGAGGGGGCAAGCGUUGUUCGGAAUUACUGGGCGUAAAGCGUGCGUAGGCGGUUUCUUAAGUCCGUUGUGAAAGCCCUGGGCUCAACCUGGGAACUGCAGUGGAUACUGAGAGGCUAGAGUGUGUCAGAGGAUGGUGGAAUUCCCGGUGUAGUGGUGAAAUGCGUAGAUAUCGGGAGGAACACCAGUGGCGAAGGCGACUACCUGGCCUGUUCUUGACGCUGAGGCGCGAAAGCUAGGGGAGCAAACGGG